rnacentral:rRNA from 1 species
UACGAGGGGGGCAAGCGUUGUUCGGAAUUAUUGGGCGUAAAGGGCGCGUAGGCGGUGCGGUAAGUCUGAUGUGAAAUCUCCGGGCUCAACUCGGAGUCUGCAUCAGAAACUGCCGGGCUUGAGUAUGGGAGAGGUGAGUGGAAUUCCUGGUGUAGCGGUGAAAUGCGUAGAUAUCAGGAGGAACACCAGUGGCGAAGGCGGCUUUCUGGUCUGUAACUGACGCUGAGGCGCGAAAGCGUGGGGAGCAAACAGG